UCUUUGCAGAUGAUUCUUUUCCCAUUCUCAGGCAGUUUUCUUGUCUUUUCUUUUUUUUUUCUUUUUUUUUUUUUUUUUUUUUUUUUUGAGACUGAGUCUUGCUCUGUUGCCCAGGCUUUGCUCGAUCUCAGCUCACUGCAACCUCCACCUCCCGGGUUCAAGCGAUUCUCCUGCCUCAGCCUCCUGAGUAGCUGGGACUACAGGUGUGUGUCACUACACCAGGCUAAUUUUUGUAUUUUUAGUAGAGAUGGGGUUUCCCCAUGUUUGCCAGGAUGGUCUCUAUCUCCUGUCCUUGUGAUCCACCCACCUUGGCCUCCCAAAGUGAUGGGAUUACAGGUGUGAGCCACUGGGUCCUGCCUCUCAGGCAAUUUUCAUACCUGCAUACUCUGAUCACUAUUCUGUUAAACAGUCAAGGAGAGUAAGUAUUAUCUUCAGAUUUCCAGAGCUCUGUCUCUGUACAGCCCUCUCCUCCUCAAUAUUCUGCCCUAUGAAUUCUAGCCACAUUGGCUUUCCCAGACUCACAGUUCUGUCUUCUCAACUCAGGAAGAUCUCUGAGCUCCAUCUGCAUUCUUUCCUCCUGUGCUGUGGCCUGGAAAGUUUUACAAGGUGUUGGGGAGGUCAAUUGUGGGGCUAGCCUCAUUUGUUUCUCAUCUCUUGAGGAUCACUGCCCUUUGAUGCUCGAUUCCAGUGAUUGAUUCCCUUUGUUGCCUGAGGGCCAUAGUUUCAUAUAUUUUGUCCAGUAUUUUUGUUGUUUCAGGUCAGAAAGUAAUUUUGGUCUCUGUUACUCCAUCUUGGCCAGAAGUGUAAGACCUAAGCAUUUACACAUCAAAAUACUGCACACAUAAGUUUAGUUUAAGCUACUUUUUAAAAAAUCUCCUUCAUUUUCCAUUUAGCAUUCUAUUUAGGGUAUUACAUUGGUUUUUUGGAAAUUCUGUUAUUGGCAGUUUCUAUUGCCUAUCAAUCCCAUUUGAAGAUAGUGCAUAGGGUAUUCUAAAAUAGCUGUUAAGCAAAGAGAAAAUUGGGCCUGAUAGGGUGAGAAUCACAGCUCUAAUACCUAGAGUGACCUUAUAAUGUAUUGUCCAAAGGAGAUAUUUUUGACAGUGAAAGAGGGUGUUGUUAGUAAUUAUAUCAGGACCGUGGCCUAAACCAGGACUAUCCCAGGCAGCCUGGGACAUAUUUGUACCCCAUCUCUAUUUAAUGCCUUUAUACAAUUCUUUACUUAAUUCUACCAGCCUUUAUUGAGCCUGCUUUCUUUGUCUAGCUGAGUGCCACAUGCUGACAUCACUAAGAUCAAUACGGCAAACUCUGAAAGAUGGACAGAGAGACAGGAGAUGGUCCUUUAUAAUGCAGUGUGAUCUGUGCUGCAAUAGAGUUUUGGAGGCUAGAAGUUCAAAACGAGGUGUUGGCAGCACCAUGCUCUCUCUGAAGAUGCUAGGAAGAAUCUGUUCCGUGCCUUUCCAUUCGCUUCUGGGGUUUCCUGCAAGCCCUGACAUUCCUCGGCUUGUAGAUGCAUCACCCCAGUUUCUGCCCCCAUCAUCACAUGGCCCCCUCUCUGGGUGUACGUCUGCGUUCCCUCUCCUCUCCUUCUAAGGACACCGACACCAAUCAUAGUAGAUUAAGGGUCCACUCCUAACCAAUUACAUCUGCAACAACGCUAUUUCCAAAUAAAGUCACAUUCUAAGAUUCCUAGGGAGAACAUGAAUUUUUGGGGGUGUGUGGAUACUGUUCAACCUGGGACAUGGAGUAAAUUAAUGGCAAGGAAGAUUACAGAUUACUUUAAGCUAGAGAGGGAGAUAGGGUUAAAUGUAGGACAUUUUUUUUUUUCCAGGAUAGGAGAGGUUUAAACAUGUUACUACAUUGAAUAAAUGAAAUAG
rnacentral:lncRNA from 1 species